CCUAGACGAGCAUCUGCUAAAGGCUACUCGAAGGUUCAGGAUUCUAGUCAAUGGAACAAGAGGAAGACUCGAGUGCCUGUAAGACCAGGUCCCUUUGAUGAGGCUGCAGCUAACCCAGAGAAGGAGGGUCGUCUUCUCCUGAGUUGUUGUAUCCUUCACGGUUUUUCUACUUGCAGAUAAAGGGAUGGCGUGAUAUCUGACGUUAACGAUGCAGAUGAAGUGCUGCAUGCAGAAAUGUACAGGCAUCCACAUAUGACUAAAUAGGUUCAGGAGUUGUGGAACUUCUCUUGCACAGGGAAUGUGGAAAAGCUGCUGUUCUGGACAGAAUGAAGACCAGCCAAGGGAGGCAGAACCUCGGCAUUGCUGCAGCAGGCCUGGUACAGUAUUCAUAGCUUGCUUUACAUGCACUCAGGUUCUUUUACUGCGUCCAGGCUCUUUACUGCAAAGAAGAGUGCUUGUAAAAGCAGAAGAAAACAAGAAGCAGGAGAUCACACAAUGUUAUAUACCAGCUUUCCACAAACCAGUUUGACAACCCCUGAUAUACAGAUAAUAAGAAAAGUCCUAUAUGGUGCAACCACAGUGAGCACAUGUUCUUUCUAAUGAUUUAUAAUUCCACUGUAUCCCACUCAAAAGCAGUGCAAGAAUCUGACUCUUGUUAUCUUGUAGAUGGGAGAGAGCAUUCUCUAUACAAUGUCAUUGUGAAGUUUUGGGGAUCAACCCGGACCAGUAAGGGGUUCUGUCACGCCAGCCUUGUACUUUUGGGGACCUUAAUGCUAUGCUGCUGUAGCUCAGAGCCCUGAUACCAAUAGCCAGCCUAGAAGCACAAAGGUCUCACCCUGGCUUCUACCAGCCUAGUUACUCCUUGCAGCGUAAUUCCAACAGCUCUGAAUCUCCCCAAAUCCAUCUACUCAAGUCUUAACUACCAGCCACUCGGACUUUUCCUCUCUGGUUCAUCACUCCUGAAAGUGCGAAAACAGCCCCCCAUUAACAGCUCACUUUGGGACACAUACAUCAUACAAUUUGCACACCAGAGCCCUGCUAUGGGUAAAAAUAAACAAAAUGUGUAUUCAAUAGAAAAAAUCACAGAUUCAGAGUUGAAAUAGUAAGAAAAAGCAAACACAUACAAGUAGCACAGAAAAUAAACAUUAAGACGCAACUUCAGGAUUCACACUUCUAUAUUAGACAAUUUCCCUUUUCUAAUAAAGUUACCUAUUGCCUUUGAACAGUUUCCCAAUGUA